AUUAAAUGUUGUCCUUAGAAGAGUUGUCUUGGUCAUGGUGUCUGUUCACAGCAGUAAAACCCUAACUAAGGCCUUAGCAUUUCCAUGUGAAAAACACUCUGUGUAAGGGUCUAUUUCUUUAUGUUCAUGGAGUGGCACAGCUAUAGCCAGGAGGCAUAUGGGUGGUUUUCUAGAAUUGGGAGAUGAUGAAUCUGUUAAUGGAGAAGGGUUUCUUUGAAGUGACAAACAUGUUUUAAAAUUGAAUUCAGUGUUGGUGCACCUCUGAACAGAGCAAACACUGUCAGAUUGUCGAUGUUGGGUAAAUGAGUUGAUUACAGUGGGAACUAUAGCUCACAAUACUUUUACUACGUUUUUAAAAUUAGGUGAUACGGGUAUGAGUGUAGGCAUGGGUACCAUGUGUGGAGACCAAAGGACUACUUGUGUAGGUUGAUUCCUUCCUAUCACUUAGGUGCAGGGGAUUGAACCCAGGUCACCAGGCUUGGCUGUAAGUGCCUGUACCUGCUAAGUCAUUUCACUGUCCCGAAAACUUUUUGUUUGUUUAAGUUGAGGGGAAUUUCAGGUACAAACAAUGGAAAGAAUACGAAUGCUGGAGCGUGUUCAGGUAAAACUGAGCAUCUGUGUGGCUGCGCCUUAAUCUGGUAAUACCAAACAUAGGAUUCGUGAUGGCCGCCACUGGGGAGCACAGCUGCCAAAUCUCGUCUCUGACCUCCAGAACUGCAGGAAGUGACUAUAAGUUUUAGCAUCUGACGCUGAACUUUGCCUUACCAUACCGCACUAGCAGUCAGAGGACACAAGAGAUGCUUUAAUGAACGUAGAAAAAGCCACAUGCCUUAUAGGAGUCUCUCGAUGCCUCUCACCUUCUGGCUUGUUAUAGAACUAUGGGACAAGCGUCUCUACCCCAUGACCCUUGUGCUUUCCUGCAAAACCAGC
ensembl:lncRNA